GGGGCCGACCUGGUUUCGACGUGGGUGCGGAAUUGGAGUGGUGCAUGCCGAGCAUCAGUGAGCUCGUAAAUCCAGCUGAAACAAACCAACUGCGAACGACGAACGUUUCGCCCUCGCCGCUUAAACACCGGUGAGCGUCUCAACGGCAGGCCGAUGGGCCGGGCCCAAGCCGCAAGGUGGAAGGCUGAGACGUCAUGCACAUCGGCUGGUUGCUCGUCGGGUCACUCGGCGUUCAACGAGACUCAGUGACUGGCGUUGUCCGUAGCGUGCUUCUGCGCGACGGCGGCGUGAGACUCAAAUCAGACAGCUAAGCAUGUAGAUCUACCUGAGGAUGGCUUGCGGACGGGGGUUCGAUUCCCCCCGGCUCCACCA
rnacentral:tmRNA from 16 species